rfam:Chlamydiae bacterium RIFCSPHIGHO2_12_FTLL_49_32 rifcsphigho2_12_scaffold_25610, whole genome shotgun sequence.
CAAGUUCAGCUGAGAAAGGGAUGCCACCCAUCUCAUAUCGAGUCCUUGGGUACAUGGAGGUAACAAAAUGGAUUAAGCGUAGGACAGAGAAAUUAUAGGCCGUAAUCCGAAAGGGUGAAGUGAUUGAGCCUCGUAAAUAGAUAUCUAAUGGAAGAGCCGAUGAUGUGAUUUGUUCAGAAGGCAACAUCACAGACUCCAAACAUGGCAGGAGAUGUGAUCUUCCCGGGGUCAUAGAGCA